AGAGUUUGAUCAUGGCUCAGGAUGAACGCUAGCGGGAGGCCUAACACAUGCAAGCCGAGCGGUAUAGAAUCUUCGGAUUUUAGAGAGCGGCGUACGGGUGCGGAACACGUGUGCAACCUACCUUUAUCUGGAGGAUAGCCUUUCGAAAGGAAGAUUAAUACUCCAUAAUAUAUUGAUUGGCAUCAAUUAAUAUUGAAAGCUCCGGCGGAUAGAGAUGGGCACGCGCAAGAUUAGUUAGUUGGUGAGGUAACGGCUCACCAAGACGAUGAUCUUUAGGGGGCCUGAGAGGGUGAUCCCCACACUGGUACUGAGACACGGACCAGACUCCUACGGGAGGCAGCAGUGAGGAAUAUUGGACAAUGGGUGCAAGCCUGAUCCAGCCAUCCCGCGUGAAGGACGACUGCCUAUGGGUUGUAAACUUCUUUUGUAUAGGGAUAAACCUCUCCUCGUGAGGAGAGCUGAAGGUACUAUACGAAUAAGCACCGGCUAACUCCGUG
rnacentral:rRNA from 1 species